rnacentral:rRNA from 1 species
GGAGUUUGGACCGUGUCUCAGUUCCAAUGUGGGGGACCUUCCUCUCAGAACCCCUACUGAUCGUUGCCUUGGUGGGCCGUUGCCCCACCAACCAGCUAAUCAGACGCAGGCCCAUCUUCAGGUGAUAGCUUACAUGUAGAGGCCAUCUUUCAUGCAUCUCCCAUGCGGAAAAUACACUUCAUUCGGUAUUAGCAGGGCUUUCGUCCUGUUGUCCCCAUCCCAAAGGCAGGUUGCCUACGCGUUACUCACCCGUUUGCCACUGGAUCUCUCAAAAGCAAGCUUCUAAUCAAUCCCGUUCGACUUGCAUGUGUUAAGCACGCCGCCAGCGUCGUCCUCGAGCCAUGAUCAAACUACU